rnacentral:rRNA from 1 species
GAUGAACGCUGGCGGCGUGCCUAAUACAUGCAAGUCGAGCGAACAGACGAGGAGCUUGCUCCUCUGACGUUAGCGGCGGACGGGUGAGUAACACGUGGAUAACCUACCUAUAAGACUGGGAUAACUUCGGGAAACCGGAGCUAAUACCGGAUAAUAUAUUGAACCGCAUGGUUCAAUAGUGAAAGACGGUUUUGCUGUCACUUAUAGAUGGAUCCGCGCCGCAUUAGCUAGUUGGUAAGGUAACGGCUUACCAAGGCAACGAUGCGUAGCCGACCUGAGAGGGUGAUCGGCCACACUGGAACUGAGACACGGUCCAGACUCCUACGGGAGGCAGCAGUAGGGAAUCUUCCGCAAUGGGCGAAAGCUUGACGGAGCAACGCCGCGUGAGUGAUGAAGGUCUUCGGCUCGUAAAACUCUGUUAUUAGGGAAGAACAAAUGUGUAAGUAACUAUGCACGUCUUGACGGUACCUAAUCAGAAAGCCACGGCUAACUACGUG